AUGGCCAUAUCACGUUGAAACACCUUGUUCCCAUACAAUCACCAAAGUUAAGCAACAUUGAAUCUGGUCAGUACCUAGAUGGGUGAGUGUUUGGAAAUGCUAAGUGUUG